rnacentral:rRNA from 1 species
GCGCUGCGUAAUCAUGCAAGUUCGAGCGGACCUUCGGGUCAGCGGCGGACGGGUGAGGAACACGCGAGAGAGCUAUCGAUGAGUGGGGGAUAUCGGGCCGAAAGGCGCGGCAAUCCCGCAUACGUUCCUACGGGAAGAAAGCUGGGCAACUGGCGCUCAUCGCGGAGCUCGCGGCCCAUUAGCUAGUUGGGGGGGUAAUGGCCUCCCAAGGCGACGAUGGGUAGCCGGCCUGAGAGGGUGAACGGCCACACUGGGACUGAGACACGGCCCAGACUCCUACGGGAGGCAGCAGUAGGGAAUCUUCCACAAUGGGCGCAAGCCUGAUGGAGCAACGCCGCGUGAGUGAAGACGGCCUUCGGGUUGUAAAGCUCUGUCUGUCGGGACGAAGACCGGGACGGGAGUCCCGGGGAGCCGGUACCGACGAAGGAAGCCCCUGCAAACUACGUGCCAGCAGCCGCGGUAAGACGUAGGGGGCAAGCGUUGUCCGGAAUUACUGGGCGUAAAGGGCGUGUAGGCGGUGCGAUACGUAGCGGUUUUAAGCCUCCGGCUCACCCGGAGGAGGGCGGCUAAACGGUCGCACUGGAGGGCAGGAGAGGUGCGUGGAAUUCCUGGUGGAGCGGUGAAAUGCGUAGAGAUCAGGAAGAACACCAGUGGCGAAGGCGGCGCACUGGCCUGACCCUGACGCUGAGGCGCGACAGCGUGGGGAGCAAACGGGAUUAGAUACCCCGGUAGUCCACGCCGUAAACGAUGGAUACUAGGUGUCGUGGGGGUCCACCCUGCGGUGCCGGAGCUAACGCACUAAGUAUCCCGCCUGGG